rnacentral:rRNA from 1 species
GUCUAUGGCCGUGCCACCCUGAACGUGCCCGAUCCCGUCUGAUCUCAGAAGCUAAGCAGGGUCGGGCCUGGUUAGUACCUGGACGGGAGACCACCUAGGAAGACCAGGUGCUGUAGGCG